rnacentral:rRNA from 1 species
AGCGCAGGCGGGAUAUCAAGUCUUUCUUAAAAGUGCGGGGCUCAACCCCGUGAUGGGAAGGAAACUGGUAUUCUUGAGUGCAGGAGAGGAAAGCGGAAUUCCUAAUGUAGCGGUGAAAUGCGUAGAUAUUAGGAGGAACACCAGUGGCGAAGGCGGCUUUCUGGACUGUAACUGACGCUGAGGCUCGAAAGCCAGGGGAGCGAACG